UACGUAGGGCGCAAGCGUUGUCCGGAAUUAUUGGGCGUAAAGAGCUCGUAGGCGGUUUGUCGCGUCUGCUGUGAAAGCCCGGGGCUCAACCCCGGGUCUGCAGUGGGUACGGGCAGACUAGAGUGCAGUAGGGGAGACUGGAAUUCCUGGUGUAGCGGUGAAAUGCGCAGAUAUCAGGAGGAACACCGAUGGCGAAGGCAGGUCUCUAGGGCUCGUUACUGACGCUGAGGAGCGAAAAGCAUAGGGGAGCGAACAGGAUUAGAUACCCCGGUACGCC
rnacentral:rRNA from 1 species